UACGAGGGGUGCAAGCGUUGCUCGGAAUUAUUGGGCGUAAAGGGUAGGUAGGUGGUCUCAUUUGUCAGGGGUGAAAGCCUUGGGCUUAACCCAAGAAGUGCCCUUGAAACGGUGAGCCUGGAGUCUUGGAGAGGGUCGUGGAAUUCCCGGUGUAGCGGUGAAAUGCGUAGAGAUCGGGAGGAACACCAGAGGCGAAGGCGGCGACCUGGACAAGCACUGACACUCAACUACGAAAGCGUGGGUAGCAAACAGG
rnacentral:rRNA from 1 species